CAAUACUUUGAGAGUGGCGAACGGGUGAGUAAUGCAUCGGAACAUGCCCAACUGUGGGGGAUAACGUAGCGAAAGUUACGCUAAUACCGCAUACGAUCUACGGAUGAAAGCGGGGGACCGUAAGGCCUCGCGCAGUUGGAGUGGCUGAUGUCAGAUUAGCUAGUUGGUAGGGUAAAAGCCUACCAAGGCAACGAUCUGUAGCUGGUCUGAGAGGAUGACCAGCCACACUGGGACUGAGACACGGCCCAGACUCCUACGGGAGGCAGCAGUGGGGAAUUUUGGACAAUGGACGAAAGUCUGAUCCAGCAAUGCCGCGUGCAGGACGAAGGCCUUCGGGUUGUAAACUGCUUUUGUACGGAACGAAAAAGUUCUUUUUAAUAAAGAGGGCUUAUGACGGUACCGUAAGAAUAAGCACCGGCUAACUACGUGCCAGCAGCCGCGGUAAUACGUAGGGUGCAAGCGUUAAUCGGAAUUACUGGGCGUAAAGCGUCCGCAGGCGGUUCUAUAAGACAGAUGUGAAAUCCCUGGGCUCAACCUAGGAACUGCAUUUGUGACUGUAGAGCUAGAGUACGGCAGAGGGGGAUGGAAUUCCGCGUGUAGCAGUGAAAUGCGUAGAUAUGCGGAGGAACACCGAUGGCGAAGGCAAUCCCCUGGGCCUGUACUGACGCUCAUGGACGAUAGCGUGGAGAGCAAACAGGAUUAGAUACCCUGGUAGUCCACG
rnacentral:rRNA from 1 species